rnacentral:lncRNA from 1 species
CUAGUUUGGUUUAGGUGCGUUAAAUGUGCGUUAAAUGAUUGUUUUAAGUUAUUUCACUUCUAGGUGGAACUUAUAACGAGGACGAGCACAUCCAGGGGCGUCAAGGGGGUUACGACCCGGCGACAUACCAGUGAGUGGGCAUUGCUUUCUAUAUAUAUAUAUACCUAUAUACUCGAUUUCCCCAGAAAUCAAAUUUAAAUGAAAAAUAUAUUGAAAUGAAAUGAAAUAUGAUGUGAUUGCCAUGCAUAGAAUGUUAUGGAUAUUAUGAACUGUCGUAUGAUGCAUAUAUGUAUGAUGGUGCUGUGGACGCACAGGUAAGUAUUUAAUUACUGUUAUGUUGAGGAUGAUGAUAUAUUGAGCUCAUAUCCUGCACCAUGGUUUAGUGCUUAUAGUAUUCACCGCAUCGCACGCUCGCCUUGGAUCCAAGUAGAUGCUGGUCGUACAGUCCACGCGGAGUGGGUACGACGGGCCAGUCGUAGAGUGUUAGUGAGAUUAUGACUGGUGGGUGACCUUAGGUUAUUGUAUACAGAUGAUUGAUGAGAGAAGCACUAGAGCGAAUAUUACCAUGAGUCGUUCAGACUACAUUAGGUGGUUCCGACUUAUGUGCAGAAGGCCGGACAGGUCACGCGGAGUGACUCCGGCAGAGAGUGAGAUUGAUAGAUGUUGAGCUCUAGGUUCAAUCGUUCAGGGCUAUUAGAGGGCCUCCGAUUGAUUAUUUCUUUUUUACCUGAUUAUAUUAUGUUAAUGCAUUCAUACUACACUGUUGAAAUUGGCAUGGUACAUUCUUUAUUUGAAUCUGUUAUAAGAUUGAUGAUUGAGACAGUUGAGAUAUAUAUGCUAUAUACUAUUUUUUCUGGGAAAGUAUACAGGUUUUCCAAAAAGGGGUUAUAAAUGUGGAUUUAUGAAAUGUUUUGGAAAAGCUUUAUUUUCGCCCACUCACGUUUUCUGUUUUUUCGCCCCUCCAGGUUCUAGUUGAUAGUUGAGGCGUUGGUGGCCUACGAGACUGCUUCGGCGUUCUGACAGACUAAAUAAAUGUAGGGAUUCACCCGAGGGUGUUGUAAAUUAGUUAUGUUUCCUACUUGACUGCACCUAGAUGCUUAUGCUCUGUUUAUGUGUGUUUAGUACACUCUUAUGCACAUAGAAUGCUCGGUUGUAAAUAACUGCAAUUAGUGGUUUUCGUUGACUCGUAUUUUUAUUAUUAAAUCGUUUCCGCUUGCGUUAUGGUUACGUCACACUCACGUGACGGCCAGCACGUCCUAGUCUUCGGGUUAGGGUGUGUCAGUUUGGUAUCAGAGUAUAGGUUGCAGUCCUGUAUAACUAAUGAGUUCUUCUAUUGAUUUUGUUAUGUUUUCUGUCAGAAUUAUGCCGCCUCGUAGAGAUCCUCGCCGUGCUGCUGAGCCUAAUUUCCCCGAUAUAACUCAGUUAGGGGCAGCAGCAAUGGCUCAAGCUUUUCAGGCUAAUAUCCGUCCUCCUCAGAGAACGCCCGUAGAGACGAUGUAUAAUCUGAAACUGGAAACUUUUGAGGGAAAUGAAGGUUAUGAAGGGGCAGAAAAGUGGUUAGAUCGAAUUGAGCAGACCUUUCAAGUGAUGCAAAGUCAGGGAAACCUGCCAGCUAAUAGAUGGGUGGAGACCACCACCUGGUUUUUGGGCCGUGAGCCAGCUGCGUGGUGGAUAAAUCAGUCGAGGCACAUGGCACCUGAAAGGGCAGCCGAAUGGGAGGUAUUUAAGGAAAAUUUUAUGAAGAGAUUUGUUCCUCCGGAAUAUAUAUAGAUCGCAAGAAACAGGAAUUCACCAGUCUGAAGCAGAGGAAUAUGUCUGCACAUGAGUACUACAGGAAGUUUACUGAUUUAUCCCGUUAUGAUUCUGAUUUAGCGGGUAAUCAAGCAGAAAUGCUUCGUCGUUUCAAGCUAGGAUCUAAGAAGAAGUACAGAACGUUUGCCAAUGCACUUCCCUGUGCCGAUUAUCAUGAGUAUUUUGAGAUUCUGGUCAGGAUGGAAGACUCUGAUAAUCUUCCGGACAGUGAGGAUGAAGAGGAUAAGGGUAAUGGUCAGAAGAAAAAUGAGAAAGGUAAAGGUGUUUCCAUUCCAGGACCUCGUCAGACGCAGAAUUUCAAGAAAAGUGGAAUGAGUUCGAGUUCUUUCCAGUGGUGGAUUUAGUGCCACAGGUCCGAGGAGAGGAGGAGGUGGUAGGUUUGGUAAUGGACCUAGAUUUUCUGGUCAGAGAGGCUUUGGUGGUACUGGUAGUUCGGGUCCUCCGUUAUGUCGCCGUUGUAAUUUCCGACAUCAUGGGGAAUGUAGGAGAAGCAGUGGUGCAUGCUUUACAUGUGGUCAGACAGGACAUAGAGCUAUGUAUUGUCCCCAGAAUCAGCAGAGGCCCCAGCAGCCUGUUAUGCCAACAUCAGCACCGACUCAACAGAACUUUAAUUCAGGCAGUUAUGGCCAAGGUGGUCGUGGUGGUGCUUAUCACUAUCAGGGUGAUGCUGCUCCUUAUGCUCCGGGACAGUAUCACUAUUCCCAGGAUCCUUAUUUUCAGAGUGGAUAUUCUCAGGAUCAGGGAGGUUAUACUUCAUAUCCGUCUAUGCCAGCUAGCGGAUCUCAGUGGUAUCAGGGGGCCAGCCCCAACAGAGCGGAGUUGCUGCUAGUAGUACAGGGUCGUUUAGGCCGCCUGCCCAGACAGGUCAAGGACGUACUCAUCAGGGACGAGGUAACCAGAGUGGCAGAGGUCGUGGAGGACGACAGUCAGCUCAGGGACGUGUUAACCACAUAUCGCUACAAGAUGCUCAGAACCAUCCAGACUUGAUUAUGGGUACGUUGAAUGUUCUUGGUCAUUUUGCUAAAGUCUUGAUUGAUUGUGGUGCUACACACUCUGUGAUUUCUCAUACAUUUGCUCAAAUAACGCAACCUCAUCCUUCACCUCUAGGGUUUGAUUUAGAGUUUGCUAUGCCUAGAGGGGAUAAAUGUUAUGUUGAUAGUUUUUACUCUGGGUGUCCAGUGAUGGUAGAUAAUGUCAUUAUGCCUGCUAAUCUUAUCCCAUUAGACAUCGUGGAUUUUGAUGUGAUUUUAGGGGCGGAUUGGUUGCAUUAUAAUCGCGCCCAUAUAGAUUGUUACGGGAAAUCAGUUACUUUUCUUCGUCCUGGACUACUUGAGGUUACUUUUGUGGGUGAAAGAAGUGGGGUGAGGCAUGGUGUUAUUUCCGCCAUAAGGGCGAAGAAAUUGUUAUCCAAGGGUUGUCAGGGAUACUUGGCACAUGUGGUUUUGAAUGAUGUUGAUUCCGGUAGUGUGGAGGAAGUCGGAGUAGUCAGACACUAUCCUGAUGUAUUUCCAGAUGAUUUACCUGGGUUGCCUCCAGAUAGAGAUGUGGAAUUUUCGAUUGAUUUGCUUCCAGGUACGAACCCUAUCUCUUUGGCUCCUUAUAGAAUGGCACCAGCGGAAUUAAGAGAGUUGAAAAUUCAAUUGCAAGAGUUAAUUGAUAAAGGUUUCAUUCAGCCUAGUUCUUCACCUUGGGGAGCUCCAGUGUUGUUUGUAAGAAAGAAAGAUGGAACUUUGAGAUUGUGCAUUGAUUACAGGCAAUUGAAUCGGGUGACGAUUAAAAACCGUUAUCCCUUGCCUCGUAUAGAUGAUUUGUUUGAUCAGCUCAAAGGUGCCUGUGUGUUUUCUAAGAUCGAUUUGAGGUCUGGGUAUUAUCAAUUAAAGAUUAAAGAUGAGGAUGUUCAUAAAAACAGCUUUCAGGACUCGUUAUGGGCAUUAUGAGUUUUGGGUGAUGCCAUUUGGAUUAACGAACGCUCCUGCAGCUUUCAUGAGAUUGAUGAUGAAUGAAGUAUUCCAGGAAUAUCUUGACAAGUUUGUUAUUGUUUUUAUUGAUGACAUCCUGGUAUAUUCUAAGUCGAAAUCAGACCAUAUUCGACAUCUUAACUUGGUGUUAAGGAAAUUGAGGGAAACACCGAUUAUAUGCCAAAUUUAGUAAAUGUGAAUUUUGGCUGGAUCAAGUGGCAUUUUUGGGACAUGUGGUAUCAGCUCAGGGAAUUCAAGUGGAUCCUCAAAAGAUAGCAGCAGUGGAAAAUUAGGAACAACCUCGAACGGUCACUGAGGUGCGGAGUUUUCUUGGUUUGGCAGGUUAUUAUAGACGGUUUGUUCAAGACUUUUCUAUGAUUGCCUUGCCAUUAACGAAGUUAACCAGGAAGGAUGUUAAGUUUGAGUGGGAUGAAAGUUGUGAGCAAAGUUUCCAACAGUUGAAGUAUUGCCUUACUCAUGCACCUGUGUUAGUACUUCCUGAUGAUAACGGUAACUUCGAGAUCUAUAGUGAUGCUUCUUUUGAAUGGUUUGGGUUGUGUUUUGAUGCAGCAUAGUAGAGUGAUUGCCUAUGCUUCUAGGCAGUUGAAGACUCAUGAAAGAAACUAUCCGACUCACGAUCUUGAGUUGGCAGCUAUUGUGUUUUGCUUUGAAGAUUUGGAGACACUAUCUCUAUGGCGAGAAAUGUAAGAUCUUUACCGAUCAUAAAAGCCUUCAGUACCUUUUCACUCAGCAUGAUCUUAAUCUUCGUCAGAGAAGAUGGUUGGAAUUGUUAAGUGAUUAUGAUUGCACGAUUGAGUACCAUCCGGGUCGUGCAAAUGUGGUAGCUGAUGCUCUGAGUAGGAAGCCUCAAGGGCGACUUAAUGCUUUGUAUACCAGUCGUGUUCCUCUUCUGGCAGAGUUGAGAUCUACUGGAGUAGAAUUAGAAUGGGAAGAGCAAAGUGAAGCUUUUCUUGCCAAUUUUCAAGUCAAACCAAUUUUAAUUGAUCGGGUGCUUGCAGCUCAAUCGUUGGAUGAAGAAAUUCAAGAAUUGAUCAAUUUAAGAAAUGAAGGGAAGAAGAAAGAUCUUAAGAUCCGAGGAUCAGAUGGUAUGCUUAUGCAAGAGAACAGGAUGUAUGUGCCUAAUAAUGAGGAACUGAAGAAAGAAAUCUUGGAUGAAGCACAUUGUUCGGCUUAUGCUAUGCACCCAGGAGGAACUAAAAUGUAUCAUACCAUUCGACCAUUCUACUAUUGGCCGGGUAUGAAGAGAGAGAUUGCGGAGUAUGUGAGUAGGUGUAUUGUCUGCCAGCAGGUUAAGGCUGAAAGAAAGAAGCCGUUUGGGAGAUUGCAACCACUUCCCGUUCCCCAGUGGAAAUGGGAGAAUAUAACGAUGGAUUUUGUGUAUAAGUUGCCACGUACACAAAAUGGUUUGAUGGCAUUUGGGUGGUUGUAGAUCGACUUACCAAAUCAGCACAUUUUAUUCCAGUAAGGGAGAAGUACUCUUUAAAUAAGUUGGCUCAGUUAUUCAUAUCGAAGGUUGUAAAGUAUCAUGGUGUCCCAGUGAAUAUUAUUUCUGAUCGAGAUCCAAGAUUUACUUCUAAGUUUUGGAUAGCUUUUCAAGAAGCUUUGGGUACUAGAUUGCUUUACAGUACAGCUUAUCAUCCACAGACAGAUGGUCAGUCAGAGAGAACUAUUCAGACACUCGAGGAUAUGUUGAGAUCCUCUGUGAUGCAAUUUGGUGAUUCUUGGCAUGAUCGUUUGGAUUUGAUGGAGUUUGCCUAUAAUAAUAGUUUUCAUUCGAGUAUUGGGAUGUCUCCAUUUGAAGCACUUUAUGGUAAAGCUUGCCGUACGCCAUUAUGUUGGUCAGAGGUUGGUGAAAGAAUACUUGAGGGCCCAGAGAUUGUGGAUGAGACUACUCAGAAUAUUCAGGUAAUUAAGUCUAACCUGAAAGUGGCCCAGGAUAGACAAAAGAGCCUAGCGGAUCGACAUACCACGGACAGAAUGUAUAAUGUGGGCGACUAUGUUUUUCUGAAAUUAUCGCCUUGGAGAGGUGUGGUUCGCUUUGGAAAGAAAGGAAAGCUAAGUCCCAGGUACAUUGGACCUUAUGAGAUCACUGAGAGGAUUGGUGGAGUUGCUUACAGGUUGGAGCUACCUCCAGAGUUGUCUAAGGUACAUAAUGUGUUCCAUGUCUCGAUGCUUCGGCAUUAUGUGUCAGAUCCUUCACAAUGUGAUUCCUCCUCAACCAUUGGAAAUUAAUCCGGACUUGACGUACGAUGAGGAACCAGUGACUAUACUGGAUUGGAAAGAUAAGACCUUGAGGAAUAAGACCGUGAGCUUGGUGAAAGUAUUGUGGAGAAACCAUUCAGCUGAAGAAGCUACUUGGGAGACAGAAGAUCGGAUGAGAGAUAUGUAUCCGAGGUUAUUCUAUGACUUUUGAUGUUCUGGUUAGUGAUUGGAAUUUCGGGGACGAAAUUCUAUAAGGAGGGGAGAUUGUCACAGCCCGUCCCAGAGUUACUAAAUACCGAGGACGUGAAAUUACUAAAACGCCCUUAAACGGGAUUAAGGUGCGUAAAUUUGGUAUUUGUUUUACACUAAGAUCCUAAACUAGGGUUAGAAUUAUAUUAGUAUGUGUUAAUUUAAUUUGUGUUUGGACUUAGGGUGGGGUCCUACCCCCUAAAUCCCUCCCCAAAACCCGUGGGAUGUCUCUCUCUCAUCUCCCUUCACUCUCUCUCUCUUUCUUCAUUUCAGUAUCACUCUCUCUCUCUUACUCUCGAACUCUCUCAAGCUCUCGGACAAACACCAAGAACAAUCACAAUCCUACACCAACGUCCGAUCUAAGAUCACCACGACACUCCUUAGGACCUCACGAGCACGGGAAUACCAGUUUUAGGUAAGUUCUAUUUCGAGAACCCUAGUUUUAAAACACCCCGUGUAAUGGCACUGUUCACGAAUUUAAUUUUGGUUGUGUUUUAGGUUAAACAAAGAUCACCACGAGUCUUAGGAAGUUCCAAGGAGGCUCGGAGUGCCUCGUUUGAACAAAAUGGACGUCGGGAUCGUCGGGUUCGAGUUUGGCCGAAAUUGAAGAAUUUUGAAAGGUUUGAUCUUGUUGUUUUUAGGCCUUAAAACCCUUCCAACGUGUUAGUACAUGUUAAAUGCUUCAUUUUGGUAUAAAAUGCGAAGAAAUUGGUUGAAAAACGAAGGAGAAUAGUGGAUUUGAAAAUUUUCCAGAAACCGGCGAACAGCCGCCGGCGACCGGCGACUCGCCGGAGAAGACAGGGAAUCUUCCGUCAAGUUUGACGGAAUAUUCCGACGCCGUUAGUUAACUUUAACGGAAACCGUUAGUUUUUAACGGAAUAUUCCGGGAAUAUUCCUAACGCCGUUCACUGUAGCCGUCAGUGUGCCUGGCACGUGGCUGCGCGUGGGCCGCGCGUAGGUCCGUGCCACGUCAGGCGCGUGGGGGCGCGUGAGGACUCCAAAAAUUAUUUUAAAAAUAUGGGGAUGAUCCUGAGGUUGUGUAGGUCACUGUGGUAUAUUCAUAUACCCAAUUUGAGCAUCGUAUGAAGAAUUAAUUACCUAGUUUGGUUUAGGUGCGUUAAAUGUGCGUUAAAUGAUUGUUUUAAGUUAUUUCACUUCUAGGUGGAACUUAUAACGAGGACGAGCACAUCCAGGGGCGUCAAGGGGGUUACGACCCGGCGACAUACCAGUGAGUGGGCAUUGCUUUCUAUAUAUAUAUACCUAUAUACUCGAUUUCCCCAGAAAUCAAAUUUAAAUGAAAAAUAUAUUUGAAAUGAAAUGAAAUAUGAUGUGAUUGCCAUGCAUAGAAUGUUAUGGAUAUUAUGAACUGUCGUAUGAUGCAUAUAUGUAUGAUGGUGCUGUGGACGCACAGGUAAGUAUUUAAUUACUGUUAUGUUGAGGAUGAUGAUAUAUUGAGCUCAUAUCCUGCACCAUGGUUUAGUGCUUAUAGUAUUCACCGCAUCGCACGCUCGCCUUGGAUCCAAGUAGAUGCUGGUCGUACAGUCCACGCGGAGUGGGUACGACGGGCCAGUCGUAGAGUGUUAGUGAGAUUAUGACUGGUGGGUGACCUUAGGUUAUUGUAUACAGAUGAUUGAUGAGAGAAGCACUAGAGCGAAUAUUACCAUGAGUCGUUCAGACUACAUUAGGUGGUUCCGACUUAUGUGCAGAAGGCCGGACAGGUCACGCGGAGUGACUCCGGCAGAGAGUGAGAUUGAUAGAUGUUGAGCUCUAGGUUCAAUCGUUCAGGGCUAUUAGAGGGCCUCCGAUUGAUUAUUUCUUUUACCUGAUUAUAUUAUGUUAAUGCAUUCAUACUACACUGUUGAAAUUGGCAUGGUACAUUCUUUAUUGAAUCUGUUAUAAGAUUGAUGAUUGAGACAGUUGAGAUAUAUAUGCUAUAUACUAUUUUUCUGGGAAAGUAUACAGGUUUUCCAAAAAGGGGUUAUAAAUGUGGAUUUAUGAAAUGUUUUGGAAAAGCUUUAUUUUCGCCCACUCACGUUUUCUGUUUUUUCGCCCCUCCAGGUUCUAGUUGAUAGUUGAGGCGUUGGUGGCCUACGAGACUGCUUCGGCGUUCUGACAGACUAAAUAAAUGUAGGAUUCACCCGAGGGUGUUGUAAAUUAGUUAUGUUCCUACUUGACUGCACCUAGAUGCUUAUGCUCUGUUUAUGUGUGUUUAGUACACUCUUAUGCACAUAGAAUGCUCGGUUGUAAAUAACUGCAAUUAGUGGUUUUCGUUGACUCGUAUUUUAUUAUUAAAUCGUUUCCGCUUGCGUUAUGGUUACGUCACACUCACGUGACGGCCAGCACGUCCUAGUCUUCGGGUUAGGGUGUGUCAG